GCCGCGGUGCCGCCUGGGAGUUGUAGUCUCCGGCAGCGCGACUUCCUGGUCGGUCCCCAGUCCCCCAGCCUCCAGAGCCCGGCUGCGGGCCUCGGGCCGAAGUGAGGACUGCGCGUGGGCGAAGGAAUUCUCCCGGGAAGAUGAGCCUGGCCUCAGACCCUCCCUGGGACGCCGUGGGCCGGACGCCUGGAGGAGGAGAGGAGGAGAGGGCCGAGCACUCCUCACAGACCCUGCGGGGGCCGCGGCCCAAGGGUCCUGCUGCUCAGGAAUGAAUCUGAGGACAGGCAACAUCUUGGUGGCGCUCCAGACUUUCCAGCUGACUUGGUGUAGAGGACCUGUGGGAGGUGCUGAGGAGGACUGAGGGAGAGGAGGGUGGCAGUGUUUCAGAGGCUGCCCCAUCAGCCCAGGUUAACGAAGGAAGAAGUGGAGCAGAGCCCAGCCCACCCAUGUUGGACGUGGCACAAGAAGCAGAACAGAGAAAAGCGGUAUGUGUUUCGCUUGGCAGGAAAACACUUGCUUUCAAGACUCCACUUCCAAAAUGCACGAGUGUCUGGGCUGUUCAGCAAGCCGGCCUUAGUUUUUCCCUCUUAACGCAGUAGCACGUAAUUGAGAACAAAAAAAAAGCAGCCCCUGACAUCCAGGAACUGGCCUGACACUUACAGCCACACUGGGAGACUCUCCAAUGCAGGGGACAGGUCUGACUCAUCCCUAUAUCCCAGCACCUGGGAGGGAGAAGUUCAAUGAAUGAUGAUGACAAUGGCUAACAUUUACUGUCCACUUACUACGUGCCAGGGAAAGAAACCAGAGCGCGGGGCCCCAGAGCUCUCUGUCCUCAAAGCCUGUUCUUCUGGCCGCUGUUCAUCACACCAGCUACAGUUUUGUCAAGUAAACUUUUUAUUCAAGUACAGAGAAGUAUACAUAUCAUUAGUGUACAGUUCAACGAAUUUACACAAAGUGAACACACCCAUAUAACCAAUACUCAGAUCAAGAAACCAAACAGAGAAGCCCCCAGAAGCUCCGCACAUGCUCUUUCUGCCACCCUCAUCCCCUCUGAAAGUUAUCAUUUACCUGAUUUCUAACAGCAUGGAUUACUGUGUCUGUUUCAAACUCUCUAGGGACCCAUACAGUGUGUACUGUGUUUUUACCUUCUUUUACUUAACAUUAUGUUUGUGAGAUUCAUAUUGU